CUACGGGUGGCAGCAGCUAAGAAUAUUCCGCAAUGGACGAAAGUCUGACGGAGCGACGCCGCGUGGAUGAGGAAGGCCGAAAGGUUGUAAAGUCCUUUUGUCGACGAAGAAUAAGUGUGGGAGGGAAUGCCCGCAUGAUGACGUUAGUCGGCGAAUAAGCCCCGGCUAAUUACGUGCCAGCAGCCGCGGUAACACGUAAGGGGCAAGCGUUGUUCGGAAUUAUUGGGCGUAAAGGGUACGUAGGCGGUUCUGUAAGCCUGACGUGAAAUGCUGGAGCUUAACUCCAGAACUGCGUUGGGAACUGUGGGACUUGAGUCAUGGAAGGGGAGUUGGAAUUCCAGGUGUAGGGGUGAAAUCUGUAGAUAUCUGGAAGAACACCGGUGGCGAAGGCGAACUCCUGGCCAAUGACUGACGCUGAGGUACGAAAGUGCGGGGAGCAAACAGGAUUAGAUACCCCCGUAGUC
rnacentral:rRNA from 1 species